rnacentral:tRNA from 1 species
GCGGACGUGGAGAAACCGGUAGACUCACAAGACUUAAAAUCUUGUGCCGAACAGGCGUGUGGGUUCGAGUCCCACCGUCCGCACCA